UGAUAUAGGUGUCGUAAUUAAAACAGUCCACUUCAUGCUCGCAUGAAAGUGGACUGUUUUUAAUUUACGACCCUAACAAGUAUGAGAAAAUAGCAAUUUACGAAGUAAAUUAGCGGUUUCCGAACGCUUGAAGAAUUGCGCGAACAGCUUUAGCUGUGGAGCAAUUCGUAUAUCA
rnacentral:sRNA from 1 species